CCCGUGCUACAACCGCGCAUAAUAGGUAUUAAAUUGCUAUUAUUAGCAUGCCUAUUGGUGGCGAGUCUUAGACUAUUG
rfam:Bacillus sp. FJAT-25509 super41, whole genome shotgun sequence.